AUUGAACGCUGGCGGCAGGCCUAACACAUGCAAGUCGAACGAGUGGCGGACGGGUGAGUAAUGUCUGGGAAACUGCCUGAUGGGGGGGGAUAACUACUGGAAACGGUAGCUAAUACCGCAUACCAUCAGAUGUGCCCAGAUGGGAUGGGCCAGUGGGGGGGGUCACGGCCUACAAAGGCGACGAUCCCUAGCUGGUCUGAGAGGAUGACCAGCCACACUGGAACGGAGACACGGUCCAGCCUCCUAAGGGAGGCAGCAGUGGGGAAUAUUGCACAAGGGGCGCAAGCCUGAUGCAGCCAUGCCGCGUGUAUGAAGAAGGCCUUCGGGUUGUAAAGUACUUUCAGCUGGGAGGCGUUACCCGCAGAAGAAGCACCGGCUAACUCCGUGCCAGCAGCCGCGGUAAUAC
rnacentral:rRNA from 1 species